GCCAGAAGGAUCGAGAGAGAGAGAAUAGAACCUGGUGCUCUCUGCACCGGACGCCACCGACCCGAGAAAGAAAACCCGGCCAGAACGCCGUCCUCCGGCCACCUCACGACGGCGCAUACCCACCAUUCCCUUCACCUCUGCAUCGCCUACAUCCCAGUAGCUUCUGAUCGCCCAUGCACGGAACGAGGAGGGAGAUGUGGCGGUGAGUGCAGUGACUGCUCUGGCCAGUUUCUGCAAGUUUCCGGCCACCAUUCAAGGUGCAUUCGGCGACUUCUCUGGCCUCUCUUGGUUCGCUCUGCAUUUCGUCUCCACCUGUUGAUGCUUGUCGUUCUAAACUGAAGCUAAAUUCCAAAGAACUGCAAGCUGGUGUUGAACUCCCAGUUCAUCAUCGUCCCUGUUCAAUCGAGCUUGCGCACAGUAGCUCUUGAAGGAUUCCAGUUACCCGAGGAACAGAAGGUUCACGACUCUCGGAGUACGUGAGAGAAAGCAUCGGAAUCCAGGUAGGGAUUCAGGACUCUCCUCGGUUAGUUGUUUCUUUAUAUCUUGUGUUAAAAUAUGCAUGAUGGGUGGUACGGUUUGGUUAUGUUAAAAUGCAAUGCAUACUAACCAAAUUGUGAGAGAUGUGAUGGCUUGAGAGCGAAAGGGGCACUGACUUCCUUGGGUUCGAUCCCCUAAAC